CCUUUACACAGCCACCUUUAUACAAAUACUCACUAAAACAAUACAAAACACAUUACAUCCAAUAAUAUAUCAUUCUAACAACAACACUAUCAUCAACUGUCGUCUUACAUAUGAGGAACCACAGAUAACUCAUGUACAGAUUUAGAUAGAUUUGAGCCAUGUUUUCCAUUUUAAAUGUAACAAUACAAUAAUCGGUGCAGCUUCUCAAGUCCAUUGGCAUUACAUUUCAGUGUAUUGUAGCUCUAACAGAGAAGGGCUAUUGAUCGAAAUUACUGUGUCAAAAAGGGCCGACGCAAUCAACCUCUACUUAAUGCCCUUGUUAUCCUGGAGGGGCUUUCCUUGAUCAUGAUGUGCCGGCAUAGAGGUGGAGGGGCAACACCAUGCAGGAUCUUAAAGACGAGGCUUGCAUCUACAUACUGCUUAAACCUAUCCAGACUGAAUCAAUUAUGUUUGUAAAUAAUAUGACAAUGGUGGUAACUGUUCAGUUUGUGUUUGUAGAGUGAUUCAAUUGGUUUCAGAAUAGUAGCUCCUGCCUGUGACCAGCAUGUGAGAAGGUCAUAGCAUGCAUAUAUAGUUUGGUGGCCUCUAGAGGGAAGGAAAGGUCUUAUUAACCUAAAGUUGGAUAAUCCAAACUUGACCUUGUUAACCACCUUCACAUGUUUCUUAAAUGCCAAGUUGGAGUCCGUCCCCCC